rnacentral:rRNA from 1 species
AUUGAACGCUGGCGGCAGGCCUAACACAUGCAAGUCGAGCGAGCGGCGGACGGGUGAGUAAUGUCUGGGAAUCUGCCCGAUGGAGGGGGAUAACUACUGGAAACGGUGGCUAAUACCGCAUACUAUCGGAUGAACCCAGAUGGGAUUAGCUAGUAGGUGGGGUAAUGGCUCACCUAGGCGACGAUCCCUAGCUGGUCUGAGAGGAUGACCAGCGACACGGGUACUGAGAGAGGGACCAGUGGCGUACGGGGGGCAGUAGGCGGGAGCAUUGCGCAACGGGCGCACGUGUGAGACAGCGGCGCCGGGUGGGUAAUGCCGGCUUUGGGGUUGUGAACGCCUUUCGGUAGAUGGAGAAGAAGCACCGGCUAACUCCGUGCCAGCAGCCGCGGUAAUUC